CUCAGUGAUAGCUGGUUCUCGCCGAAAUAUAUUUAGGUAUAGCCUCGGCCGUUUCUUACAGGGGGUAGAGCACUGACUGGGCUAGGGGUCUCACCAGAUUACCAAACCCUAUCAAACUCCGAAUACCUGUACAGUUAGGCCGGGAGACAGACUGCGAGUGAGAAGAUUCGCGGUCGAGAGGGAAAGAGCCCAGACCACCAACUAAGGUCCCAAAGACUACACUAAGUGGAAAACGUUGUGGGAGUGCAUAGACAGCCAGGAUGUUGGCUUAGA
rnacentral:rRNA from 1 species